rnacentral:lncRNA from 1 species
GAGGAAUAGUUGAGUUAUAGAAAAUAGGAUGAAAUAAGGCUAAAGAUGCGGAAGCUUUCAAAUGGUUUUAAAGGUUGGCUAACGUGAUGGUAAAUUUAUAAGGGUAGUAGGCUCGAUUUAAGGAUAAAAAUAAGAAAAAUAGAAGUUGAUAAAUGAAGGCUCGGUUUAGUAAAAAGAUAUUAUAGUUGGGUAAAAUCUAGGAUAGUCGGUGGAAUGGAUAAAUGAGCUUAAACACCAGAAACGAUUCAACACUAAAAAAGUG